CCUACGGGUUGCACCAGUGGGGAAUAUUGCACAAUGGGCGCAAGCCUGAUGCAGCCAUGCCGCGUGUAUGAAGAAGGCCUUCGGGUUGUAAAGUACUUUCAGCGGGGAGGAAGGCGAUAAGGUUAAUAACCUUGGUGAUUGACGUUACUCGCAGAAGAAGCACCGGCUAACUCCGUGCCAGCAGCCGCGGUAAUACGGAGGGUGCAAGCGUUAAUCGGAAUUACUGGGCGUAAAGCGCACGCAGGCGGUCUGUCAAGUCGGAUGUGAAAUCCCCGGGCUCAACCUGGGAACUGCAUCGAAACUGGCAGGCUAGAGUCUUGUAGAGGGGGGUAGAAUUCCAGGUGUAGCGGUGAAAUGCGUAGAGAUGUGGAGGAAUACCGGUGGCGAAGGCGGCCCCCUGGACAAAGACUGACGCUCAGGUGCGAAAGCGUGGGGAGCAAACAGGAUUAGAUACCCCAGUAGUC
rnacentral:rRNA from 1 species